CCGGCGACCGGCGGACGGGUGAGUAACGCGUGGGUAACCUGCCUUACACAGGGGGAUAACACUUAGAAAUAGGUGCUAAAACCGCAUAAGCGCACAGCUUCGCAUGAAGCGGUGUGAAAAACUCCGGUGGUGUAAGAUGGACCCGCGUCUGAUUAGCUUGUUGGCGGGGUAACGGCCCACCAAGGCGACGAUCAGUAGCCGGCCUGAGAGGGCGGACGGCCACAUUGGGACUGAGACACGGCCCAGACUCCUACGGAAGGCAGCAG
rnacentral:rRNA from 1 species